ACUCUCCGAGGGGCCUUCAAGGG
rnacentral:miRNA from 1 species